GUGCCAGCCGCCGCGGUAAUACCGGCAGCCCGAGUGAUGGCCGAUCUUAUUGGGCCUAAAGCGUCCGUAGCUGGCUGCGCAAGUCCGUCGGGAAAUCCACUCGCUCAACGAGUGGGCGUCCGACGGAAACUCCACACCUUGGGACCGGAAGGCUCGAAGGGUACGGCCGGGGUAGGAGUGAAAUCCUGUAAUCCCGUCCGGACCACCGAUGGCGAAAGCACCUUGGAAGGACGGAUCCGACAGUGAGGGACGAAAGCUAGGGUCUCGAACCGGAUUAGAUACCCGUGUAGUCC
rnacentral:rRNA from 1 species